rnacentral:rRNA from 1 species
GGAAUAUUGGUCAAUGGGCGCAAGCCUGAACCAGCGACGCCGCGUGCGGGAUGAAGGGGCUUUGCCUCGUAAACCGCUGUCGGGUGGGACGAAAGGUAGCUUUGAGCUACUGGGACGGUACCAUCAAAGGAAGGAUCGGCUAACUACGUGCCAGCAGCCGCGGUAAUACGUAGGAUCCGAGCGUUGUCCGGAGUUACUGGGUGUAAAGGGUGCGUAGGCUGUUCUGUGCGUCAGAGGUGAAAUCCACGAGCUUAACUCGUGGGGUGCCUUUGAUACGGCAGGGCUUGAGUACGAGAGAGGUGCGUGGAAUUCCUGGUGUAGCAGUGAAAUGCGUAGAUAUCAGGAGGAACACCGGUGGCGAAGGCGGCGCACUGGCUCGUAACUGACGCUGAGGCACGAAAGCGUGGGGAUCAAACAGGAUUAGAUACCCUGGUAGUCCACGCCUUAAACGAUGCAUGCUUGGUGUUGGUCUCGCAAGAGAUCAGUGCCGUAGUUAACAUGAUAAGCAUGCCACCUGGGGAGUACGAUCGCAAGGUUGAAACUCAAAUGAAUUGACGG